CACGGACCAAGGAGUCUAACACGUGCGCGAGUCGCAGGGUAGUACGAAACCCGAAGGCGCAACGAAAGUGAACCUUUUCUUACGAAUCGGUAGGUGGGAUCCCGGACCGAAUCCCGCUCGCGGGAAGAAUGGGCGCACCACCGGCCUGUCUCGGCCGCGACGUCGGCGAGGCGGAGCAAGAGCGUACGCGUUGGGACCCGAAAGAUGGUGAACUAUGCCUGAGCAGGAUGAAGCCAGAAGAAAUUCUGGUGGAGGUCCGCAGCGAUUCUGACGUGCAAAUCGAUCGUCAAACUUGGGUAUAGGGGCGAAAGACUAAUCGAACCAUCUAGUAGCUGGUUCCCGUCGAAGUUUCCCUCAGGAUAGCUGGCGCUCAUUGGAUAAGCAGUUUUAUCCGGUAAAGCGAAUGAUUAGAGGCCUUGGGGACGUACAGACCUCAACCUAUUCUCAAACUUUAAAUGGGUAAGACGUCCGUCUCGCUUGAUUGGAGUCGGGCUGUUCGAAUGCGAGUGCCAAGUGGGCCAUUUUUGGU
rnacentral:rRNA from 1 species